UUUAUACUUUAUUAGUAUACUAAUAUAUUAUAUAUUUUUACAUUGCACCCCUUAAACCCCUUUCCAAAGCUGCAAAGGCUGGAAACAGAAGCACAGCUUUCUCGAGGCGUGAAAACCAGAGGAGUAGAUCUCCAACCCCAAAUUUUUUUGCAGUCAUGUUGAAUCGCGGAACAAAGUCAAAGGCAUGGAAUGGACCUAAAAGAUGCCCGGUUAUGGUGCCGGUUAUGUUUCUUGUUUCAGUCUUAGUAGCAUUGCUGAUGUUUUUCCGCAAAAAUGAUGAAAACCCAAUUCCAGUGUAUGGUCUACCGAACCAAAAAUGGAAUGGGUUUGAGUCUUUGGUGCAAUUUAAUCCAGAAAGGGAAUUCAGGAAUGGCACGGAUUUGAUAUGGCAAAUACCUGAUUUGCCUAAGGCUGUUCUUUUUCUAGCUCAUGGAUGUAGUGGGAGAGCUGUCAACUUUUGGGAUAGGUCUUCUAAAUGCCCUGAAUGUGUUGGUUUGCCGGAGGAAAGGCUCCUUGUUCUUCAUGCUCUUGCUCGGAAAUUUGCUGUCUUGACUAUAUCGAGUGCAGGGAGAUGUUGGACGUUUGGGAAGGAAAGAUUGAUUGUUGAAGAUAUUAUCAGAUGGUGGGUUAAGAGACAGAACCUUGAAAAGCUACCUCUUGUGGCUUUGGGGGCCUCUUCUGGUGGAUACUUUGUAUCUGCACUGGCUAAUGAUUUGAAGUUUAGUAGUAUUGCACUUAUGAUUGCUGAAGGAAUGUUUGAUCAAAUGGACAUCAUAGAGGACUAUCCGCCAACCCUUUUUGUGCACAUGCCAAAAGAUGUACAUAGGCAACAAAAGAUAACUGAAUUUAUGGAAGUUUUGAAAAACAAAGGGAUUGAUGUUGCAGAGAUUGAAUGCAUGGAGUUGCCUCUGUCAACAACCUUUCUGUCUGACAGAAUCCCAGGUCUUGAUCAGACUAUUUCUGCUAGAUUGUUCAAUUUAUUCAAGGAGAAAGGCUUUAUAGAUGAGAAUGGGUAUAUGAAAAGGGAUGGGCGUAUGACACAUUGGAAACAAGCUCUCCAGGAAAGUAAGACUACUUUUCUGGAGAAGGGCUUAGCGCAUCCUGUUCAGGAGGAGCUAAAUCUCGCGUUUGCAUACCAUGAAAUGACUAGCUUGCAAUCUGAACAGAUCUUUAAAUGGUUUGAAUCUUAUAUGACUUGAGCAUUAUUCCUUUGUGCCACAUUCUCCUUUCUCGGCCAUGGAAGAGAUUUGCAAACUGUUUUGAACUGAAGUACUGUCUAUUCAGAAGUGAUUUGUACAUACAGCUCGUAGUUACAAUCCCUCAACUUUAGCUGGAUUAAAUUGUUUACUGCUUGAAGUUUGUCUGUAAACAACUAAGGACCAGAGAAUGUAAAGCUCCUAACUUGCACUAAAACCAAACUACGGCAUGCGCUAUGUAUUAGCUCAAUCCAAUCUGGUGCCUGCAUCAACAACCACAAACAAGGUUCAGAGGCUCAAGGCUGUAGAUGCUGAAGGAAAUAUCAGCAACAUCACACUCUAUACUUGUGGUGCUCUUCUUUUUACAUGAGAUACAAGCCCAAUCAUUAGACCAUAUUGUUUUAUCAAAUUUAUAAAGAUAAAAAUCAAAUACUAUAAAGUCAAGUGUUAGUUAAGCCUAUCCCCCUCAAUUAACUUUCAGCUAGCACUCUCUUAUUUCUUGAUGUACAUGAUUUCAAGUUACUAAAAUGUCAUGAUGCCUUGGCCUUGCACAAGUUCAUUUCUAUACUCUCGGAGAGCUUGAACCCCAACUAGUUAUAUUUAGAGCCUGGGUUGGUAUGCGUUUUAUUGUUGCAUUGUCAUAUCUUCUCUAGUCUUGGAAGCAACCCUCUGAUUUUAUUAGGAAUUAAAGUAAAUCAAAAUUUCCAAAAUUUUAAAAGGAAACAUGGAUGUCUUCUAAUUGAUUUUCUCUCUAUUACUAGACAUCUCUCUAUCCAUGUCUCUUAACAAAAUGACACAUGAAAUUAAUGUACCUUGAUUUAUUAUUAUUUUCUUUAGUGUUGAUCUACUUUCUGUGACUGGCUUUGCUUGGUGAAAUUUUUAUGGGGUAGCUGCAUCUGUCAUGAUCAUAUGGUAGCCACACUUGUUUAUUAACUUCUUGUUGACACUAUUUACUUUAAUUUAUUCAUUACUGCAAGUAAAAUUUACUGAUUUCAAGCUAUAUCUAUUGGAAUUUGUAUGUGUUAACCAUUGCAACUUAGCUUAUUUGUUACUUCUUGACAUUGCUGUUAGCAAUAGUUAAUUUUGAUAAUGGCUUUGAAACUUUUUUCUUUUAGGCAGAUUAAAACUUAGAGAAUUAUUUACAUUGGCACCUGAGGUGUCCUGAAAAUCAUCAGUGGACUAGAAAUAAUGGUGAAUCAGAUUCCCAAAGGGUUUAUGCUUCAUGCUGUUACCACCAUUUGAAGUAGUAGUUUCUAGACUUAUUUAAUUUUCCAUAACCAUCACAAAUUAAUUCAAACUUUAGAAAAUGAAUGGAGUUAGAUUGAGUUUAAUAAUUCACCUCAUGUGUAUAUACCUUGAAUGAGUGAGUCUGAAACAGCAUGUUGAAUGUUACAAUGACAUUUGAGUGCAAGGACGAAGUACUGAGACACUGGGUAGGAAUCUAAGAAGACAAUUUUCCUUUCUCACAAACAUCAUGAUGGCAAGUUCGGUAUCUCAUUUUGAAGUCCUGAGCCUCCAGGGAGAAAAGUAAGAAUGAUAAAUACUUAGGAGCAAUAACACGUUAUACUGGAAAGUGGUUUCCCGUAAUCAGCUGAUGAUUAGGGUUUUCAAUUGCCCAUAUUUUUUGUCAGAGGAUUGUUAACUUGUUAUCAAAUGUCAUGUUUACUUUGACAUUGUUGAUGAUUUCUGGUUGGUACUUUAGCUCUGGCUCAGUGUAUGUACAGUAGUGUUUUCCCUUUCUCUUAUCUGCAGGAUAAAGCGAGCAAAGAUAUAAUGCUUCCUCUCAUAGUGAAGAGUUUGAAUAAAAGCUGGAAUGACAAGUUGGAACUAGGGUAUUUUGCGCCCAGGCCUUCCUGCCCAGUUAUUUUCUUGUUGAGCUUCCUUUUUACUUUCAUUUGAGACAGAUCCCAUGAUUGUAAAAUUGUUGCUUCAAAUGUGACUUGGAAGGAAUGGCUUCUAGUUAACCAGGAUUGUCAUUAGAAUUUCUGUCAGAUGAAGACUUUGUUUUCUUCAUGUUGAUGAGAGGUAAACAUCUGUUUACCUUUUAUGAU